GAGAAAAUUAAAUAGAAGAAAAGCAUAGCUUAACGAAAAGCUUUUGAAGAUGCAUAUACUCACAAUCAUGUUCUUACAUACUUUUGGUUGUUGUGCUUGCAGAAGGACAUAUAAAAUUGGAGGUUGUGAUUUAAGCAGCACUGCUCCUCCUUGUACCAGGUGGAUUGAAAUGAUGGCUCCUGGAUUAGGAAUAUGUAAUUCAAGGAUUGUAGCUUGCUUAGAAUCUUCGUUAGCUUGGGUACUAGUAGUGUUUUUUUGUUUCAGUAAAAACUAGUGGUCUCUUUUGUAACUUCCUACUGAUUCUAAAAUUUUUUCUCUUAUGUAAUAAUAUGUAAAGGAAGUAGAUAAUGUAAUAGUUGUUGUAAUGAUUUUGAUUUUUGGUAUUUUGUUAGAGCAUGUCAUGUGAUCAAUCAC